UACAGGGGGUGCAAACGUUGCUCGGAAUCAUUGGGCGUAAAGCGCACGUAGGCGGCUUAGCAAGUCGGAAGUGAAAGCCCUCGGCUCAACCAAGGAAGUGCUUUCGAAACUGCUGAGCUUGAGUACUUAAGAGGAUCGCGGAAUUCCCGGUGUAGAGGUGAAAUUCGUAGAUAUCGGGAGGAACACCAGUGGCGAAGGCGGCGAUCUGGGAAGAUACUGACGCUGAGGUGCGAAAGCGUGGGGAGCAAACAGG
rnacentral:rRNA from 1 species